GUAGGGAAUAUUGGGCAAUGGAUGCAAGUCUGACCCAGCCAUCCCGCGUGCUGGAAGAAGGCCCUCAGGGUUGUAAACGGCUUUUGACGGUGAAGAAUCGACAGGAUGCGUCCUGUUUUGACGGUAGCCGUUGAAUAAGCACCGGCUAACUCCGUGCCAGCAGCCGCGGUAAUACGGAGGGUGCGAGCGUUGUCCGGAUUUAUUGGGUUUACAGGGUGCGUAGGCUGGAAGGUCAGUCAGCGGUGAAAAGCUGUCGCUUAACGAUAGUCUUGCCGCAGGUACUUCCUUUCUUGGAUGAGGAGGAGGCCACUGGAACGGAUGGUGUAGCGGUGAAAUGCAUAGAUAUCGUCCAGAACACCGAUUGCGAAGGCAGGUGGCUGUACCUUAAUCGACGCUGAUGCACGAAAGCAUGGGGAGCAAACAGGAUUAGAAACCCCUGUAGUCC
rnacentral:rRNA from 1 species